AUCGUCAAGAGCAAAGUUUCCUGUCGCGUGGUUGUGUUUCCUCUCUGGCCAAUGCAUCCGUCCGUAUCUACAGACAGUCUAUAUGUUCCCGGAAUGUGUUCAGCUCCCCAGUGUAGGGCACCAGGCAUCCUACCAAGGCGAAUCCGGGACCCCGGGUGCGCCGUCUGGGUCCCCCUGCCCAGCCUUGCACUGCCGGGCUGUAGACUGCUCAGCCGUCCUCCUGGAGACAGAUGGAAGCUCCUUGGGUCGACGGAUUACAGCUUCUGCAGCAGCUGGAGCCCCCUACUCCCCUCAACUCCGUGGUGGGUUCCCACUCUCCAGGGACAGGAUGUCUGAGAAUAAUAGCCUGGAUCUAAAGUGGCUAUAAGAGUUGUCUCCAUUUUGCUAGACUGACGGACCACGUUGUUUCCAGAGUGAGGAUUGUGCCCUCCUCGGGGGUGCAGUUUCUUCAAUUAUAGUUGGAAGUAUGUGAAGUGCCAGGAGAGACAGUCCACUCCAGAGCGCCAUGCCCUGACGUGCCUUUGAGCAGCCAGCGCUUCGGAUUGGAUCAUCAAGGUGUCUCCGGAGAGCUCCGGUCUCCUCCAGAGAAGAAGUGGGUCCUCUGGCAGCUCAGGAGGCCAUAACAGUGACAGAAGUGCAUCCAUGUGUGCCUUGCCGCUUCCCUGGAAAGCAGGGGCUCAGCCUAGACACUGUUGCCUUGAGCCCUAGCUGGUGCCCAGAUUCUACUGAUUGUCACUUGAUCUCUGCCGCAUGUGCUGAACAGUCCUCAGCUUUCUAGAAGAGGCUGAACAGCCCUUUAUUCAUGAAGAUGUUUGUGGACACCAGAGGACCAAAGACCACGCUCAAAGUGACCCUGGAGACUGUUCCCUCAGCAUCACGAACCAGCUUUUUACUGUGCUUAGUCACUGCCUCAUGCAUGGGAGACUCUAGCACAGUCUUGACACUAAGACCUCAGAGGGCUGUGUUCUGUGUCAGUGCCUGGAGUGAUUAGUGACAAGAACUUAUAGCCAACUUCCUGUUACCUCCCUAACAGCUAUGCAAUAAACUUUAUAGGUUAAUUCAG